GACGAACGCUGGCGGCGUGCUUAACACAUGCAAGUCGAGCGAUGAAAUUCCUUCGGGAAUGGAUUAGCGGCGGACGGGUGAGUAACACGUGGGUAACCUGCCUCAUAGAGGGGAAUAGCCUUCCGAAAGGAAGAUUAAUACCGCAUAAGAUUGUAGUAUCGCAUGAUACAGCAAUUAAAGGAGCAAUCCGCUAUGAGAUGGACCCGCGUCGCAUUAGCUAGUUGGUGAGGUAACGGCUCACCAAGGCGACGAUGCGUAGCCGACCUGAGAGGGUGAUCGGCCACAUGGGGACUGAGACACGGCCCAGACUCCUACGGGAGGCAGCAGUGGGGAAUAUUGCACAAGGGGGGAAACCCUGAUGCAGCAACGCCGCGUGAGUAAUGACGGUCUUCGGAUUGUAAAGCUCUGUCUUCAGGGACGAUAAUGACGGUACCUGAGGAGGAAGCCACGGCUAACUACGUGCCAGCCGCCGCCGUAACAC
rnacentral:rRNA from 1 species